AAAUGAGCCAUGAGGAUAUAAACCUGGUAAUUCUCCAUCGUAAGAAAGACAUCAUGCUGUCCACCUCAUGAAGGAAGAUGAGAUUAAGGCACACACAUGGGGAGGGGCAGAAUUGGAAUACCUCGGAGAUGUGGGUUUGGUACCAGAACACUGCCAUAAAGUGAAUAUCUCAAAAAAUAGGUAGUGUCUGAGCAGUGGAGGCUGAACGCAUGAGGUAUACUGCAGAGACAAUCAUAAGAUGUGGUGGAAUCCCUACAGCACUAAAAGUGUGAGAAAUAAAGUAAGGGACAAUGUAGAGGACCCAGGACACGAAUUGGGGGCAUUUUACCUGGUCUGCACAUUUGGAACCUUGGGAAUUUGAAAUGCUGAAGUACACAAAAAUGGGAUCCAGGUUGUUUCUGUUAAGGUGAGUAGAAGAUGCAUCUUUAGCCUCUCCUGCCUUGAAGUGGCCCAUGCUUCCCCUUCGAAAGCCUGGAGUUACCACAAAUGCAUUAGAAAACUAAUGGCAUCCAUGAUGGAAUGAUAUGAAUAAAAUAUUCCAACCCUCUACGCCCUGGUUUUAUCAGCCUACAAAACUCAAUUCUCACACCAUUCUGUC